rnacentral:rRNA from 1 species
UACGUAGGUGGCAAGCGUUGUCCGGAUUUAUUGGGUUUAAAGGGUGCGUAGGUGGUCUAUUAAGUCAGUGCUGAAAUAUCCCGGCUUAACCGGGAGGGUGGCAUUGAUACUGAUGGACUUGAGUAAAGUUGAGGUAGGCGGAAUUGACGGUGUAGCGGUGAAAUGCUUAGAUAUCGUCAAGAACACCUAUUGCGAAGGCAGCUUACUAAGCUUUAACUGACACUGAUGCACGAAAGUGUGGGGAUCAAACAGGAUUAGAAACCCCCGUAGUCC